ACAUGGCCGACGCACAUCAAAGUGUAGUAUCUGUUCUUAUUAGCCUAUAGUAUCCGGUAGGGGUUGCGUUUCGACACAAGAUAUUAAACUUAUUUUCUCAAGAUGACGGAAUGCAUGAAGCUUGCUCCACCUGCGCCACGGUUCGACACGGUAUUGCACUAUCUUCGGGAUCGGCCCACGUUUU